rnacentral:rRNA from 1 species
GAGGUAGGUGGUCUUGUUUGUCAGGGGUGAAAUCCCGAGGCUUAACCUCGGACGUGCCUCUGAAACGGCAAGACUAGAGUCCUGGAGAGGGUUGUGGAAUUCCCGGUGUAGCGGUGAAAUGCGUAGAGAUCGGGAGGAACACCAGAGGCGAAGGCGGCAACCUGGACAGGUUCUGACACUAAACUCCGAAAGCGUGGGGAGCAAACA